AGCGCUACUUUGACAGAGUAGAGGACAUCGGUUCAAAUCCGAUAGUGUCCAUAUAUAUAUACAUAAUUAUUUAUUA
rnacentral:tRNA from 1 species